AACGAACGCUGGCGGCAUGCCUAACACAUGCAAGUCGAACGAGACCUUCGGGUCUAGUGGCGCACGGGUGCGUAACCCGUGGGAACCUGCCCUUAGGUUCGGAAUAACUCCCCGACAGGGGUGCUAAUACCGGAUCAUGUCUUCGGCCCAAAGAUUUAUCGCCUUUGGAUGGGCCCGCGUUGGAUUAGCUAGUUGGUAGGGUAAAAGCCUACCAAGGCGACGAUUCAUAGCUGGUCUGAGAGGAUGAUCAGCCACACUGGGACUGAGACACGGCCCAGACUCCUACGGGAGGCAGCAGUGGGGAAUAUUGGACAAUGGGCGAAAGCCUGAUCCAGCAAUGCCGCGUGAGUGAUGAAGGCCGUAGGGUUGUAAAGCUCUUUUACCCGGGAUGAUAAUGACAGUACCGGGAGAAUAAGCUCCGGCUAACUCCGUG
rnacentral:rRNA from 1 species